rnacentral:lncRNA from 1 species
CAGAAUAUCUGAUAAAUUGAACAUUUUAGAAAUAUGAAUGAAAAUGCCAGAUACUAAUUAUUAUGGAUAUUUGUUCUGGUAUAAAAAAAAAAUGUUCAGAGAUACCAAUGCCCAAUGGUCAUUUUGUGUAUAACCAAAUGCAACAGUAUCUAUAGUGUAUAACUAAGAGGAAAUGUAAGGUAAACAUCAAUGAGACAUGCAGCAUCCCAACAAUGUAAUAAGCAAAAAGGCAUCUUACAUAAAAUCUUUGACAAUACGACAUUAUAACAUACCGGUAAUAUAACCACUGACAAUGUUUCUGUCUUUGAACAGGCAAGAUGAAUAUGUGGCAAGUUUGAUCUAGUUUUUGAGAUCUCAACCUUUAACAAUAGACUAGAUAACAG